GAGGAAUAUUGGUCAAUGGAGGCAACUCUGAACCAGCCAAGUCGCGUGAAGGAUGAAGGUCUUAUGGAUUGUAAACUUCUUUUGCAAGGGAAUAAAGUGGGGGACGUGUCCUCCUUUGCAUGUACCUUGCGAAUAAGGAUCGGCUAACUCCGUGCCAGCAGCCGCGGUAAUACGGAGGAUCCGAGCGUUAUCCGGAUUUAUUGGGUUUAAAGGGUGCGCAGGCGGGAUGUUAAGUCGGCGGUGAAAUUUUGCAGCUCAACUGUAAAAGUGCCUUCGAAACUGGUUCCCUUGAGUGCGGAUGAGGUAGGCGGAAUUUGUGGUGUAGCGGUGAAAUGCAUAGAUAUCACGAAGAACUCCAAUUGCGAAGGCAGCUCACUGGAGUGUAACUGACGCUGAUGCUCGAAAGUGUGGGUAUCAAACA
rnacentral:rRNA from 1 species